rnacentral:rRNA from 1 species
GACGAACGCUGGCGGCGUGCCUAUUACAUGCAAGUUGAGCGCUGAAGGUUGGUACUUGUACCAACUGGAUGAGCAGCGAACGGGUGAGUAACGCGUGGGGAAUCUGCCUUUGAGCGGGGGACAACAUUUGGAAACGAAUGCUAAUACCGCAUAAAAACUUUAAACACAAGUUUUAAGUUUGAAAGAUGCAAUUGCAUCACUCAAAGAUGAUCCCGCGUUGUAUUAGCUAGUUGGUGAGGUAAAGGCUCACCAAGGCGAUGAUACAUAGCCGACCUGAGAGGGUGAUCGGCCACAUUGGGACUGAGACACGGCCCAAACUCCUACGGGAGGCAGCAGUAGGGAAUCUUCGGCAAUGGACGAAAGUCUGACCGAGCAACGCCGCGUGAGUGAAGAAGGUUUUCGGAUCGUAAAACUCUGUUGGUAGAGAAGAACGUUGGUGAGAGUGGAAAGCUCAUCAAGUGACGGUAACUACCCAGAAAGGGACGGCUAACUACGUG